AACCUCCGCAAUGUGAGAAAUCGCGACGGGGGGAUCCCAAGUGCCAUUCUUAACGGGAUGGCUUUUCAUUAGUGUAAAGAGCUUUUGGAAUAAGAGCUGGGCAAGACCGGUGCCAGCCGCCGCGGUAACACCGGCAGCUCUAGUGGUAACAAUUUUUAUUGGGCCUAAAGCGUCCGUAGCCGGUUUAAUAAGUCUCUGGUGAAAUCCUGUAGCUUAACUGUGGGAAUUGCUGGAGAUACUAUUAGACUUGAGACCGGGAGAGGUUAGAGGUACUCCCAGGGUAGAGGUGAAAUUCUGUAAUCCUGGGAGGACCGCCUGUUGCGAAGGCGUCUAACUGGAACGGUUCUGACGGUGAGGGACGAAAGUUAGGGGCGCGAAACCGGAUUAGAUACCCGGGUAGUCCUAACUGUAAACGAUGCGGACUUGGUGUUGGGGUGGCUUUGAGCUGCUCAGUGCCGAAGGGAAGCUGUUAAGUCCGCCGCCUGGGAAGUACGGUCGCAAGACUGAAACUUAAAGGAAUU
rnacentral:rRNA from 1 species